rnacentral:rRNA from 1 species
UACGGAGGGGGCAAGCGUUGUUCGGAAUUACUGGGCGUAAAGGGCGCGCAGGCGGCUGCUCAAGUCAGGCGUGAAAGGCCUGGGCUCAACCCGGGAAUUGCGCUUGAGACUGGGCUGGCUUGAGUGCGGGAGAGGAUGGUGGAAUUCCCAGUGUAGAGGUGAAAUUCGUAGUUAUUGGGAAGAACACCGGUGGCGAAGGCGGCCAUCUGGACCGCAACUGACGCUGAGGCGCGAAAGCUAGGGGAGCAAACGGG